GUAGGUGGCAAGCGUUGUCCGGAAUUAUUGGGCGUAAAGCGCGCGCAGGCGGUUCUUUAAGUCUGAUGUGAAAGCCCACGGCUCAACCGUGGAGGGUCAUUGGAAACUGGAGAACUUGAGUACAGAAGAGGAAAGCGGAAUUCCACGUGUAGCGGUGAAAUGCGUAGAGAUGUGGAGGAACACCAGUGGCGAAGGCGGCUUUCUGGUCUGUAACUGACGCUGAGGCGCGAAAGCGUGGGGAGCAAACAGGGAUUAGAUACCCUGGCAGUCCACGCCGUAAACGAUGAGUGCUAAGUGUUAGGGGGGUUUUCCGCCCCCCUUAGUGCUGCAGCUAACGCAUUAAGCACUCCGCCUGGGAGUACGGCCGCAAGGCUG
rnacentral:rRNA from 1 species